CCUACGUGUGGCUGCAGUGAGGAAUAUUGGUCCAUGGGCGGAAGCCUGAACCAGCCAAGUAGCGUGCAGGAUGACGGCCCUACGGGUUGUAAACUGCUUUUAUACGGGAAUAACGCGCCUUACGUGUAGGGCUUUGCAUGUACCGUCUGAAUAAGGACCGGCUAAUUCCGUGCCCGCCGCCGCGGUACUACGGAAGGUUCGGGCGUUCUCCGGAUUUAUUGGGUUUAAAGGGAGCGUAUGCCGCAGGUAAAACGUUCUGUGAAAUGUUCGGGCUCAACCCGGGCCUUGCAGCGCGUACUGGCGUGCUUGAGUCCGCGGAAAGCAGACGGAAUUCGUCGUGGAGCGGUGAAAUGCUUAGAUAUGACGAAGAACCCCGAUUGCGAAGGCAGCUUGCUGCAGCGGAACUGACGCUGAUGCUUGAAAGCGCGGGUAUCGAACAGGAUUAGAUACCCGUGUAGUC
rnacentral:rRNA from 1 species